rnacentral:rRNA from 1 species
UGGGGAAUAUUGCACAAUGGGCGAAAGCCUGAUGCAGCAACGCCGCGUGAGCGAUGAAGGCCUUCGGGUCGUAAAGCUCUGUCCUCAAGGAAGAUAAUGACGGUACUUGAGGAGGAAGCCCCGGCUAACUACGUGCCAGCAGCCGCGGUAAUACGUAGGGGGCUAGCGUUAUCCGGAAUUACUGGGCGUAAAGGGUGCGUAGGCGGUCUUUCAAGUCAGAAGUGAAAGGCUACGGCUCAACCGUAGUAAGCUUUUGAAACUGGAAGACUUGAGUGCAGGAGAGGAGAGUGGAAUUCCUAGUGUAGCGGUGAAAUGCGUAGAUAUUAGGAGGAACACCAGUUGCGAAGGCGGCUCUCUGGACUGUAACUGACGCUGAGGCACGAAAGCGUGGGGAGCAAACA